CCCCUGUCAUCUGUGAGUAAGACUCCCAAUAAAAGCUUGGGAGGUUGAUAUUAGCAGAAGAGGAAGGGACGGCUAACUCUGUGCCAGCAGCCGCGGUAAUACAGAGGUCCCAAGCGUUGUUCGGAUUUACUGGGCGUAAAGGGUGCGUAGGCGGCUAGAAAAGUUUGAUGUGAAAUCUCCGGGCUUAACCCGGAAACUGCAUUGAAAACUAUCUGGCUAGAGGAUCGGAGAGGAGAUUGGAAUUCUCGGUGUAGCAGUGAAAUGCGUAGAUAUCGAGAGGAACACCAGUUGCGAAGGCGGAUCUCUGGACGAUUCCUGACGCUGAGGCACGAAAGCUGGGGUAGCGAAGAGGAUUAGAUACCCUCGUAGUCCCAGCCGUAAACGGUGCACACUUGCUGUGGGCGGAUUCGACCCCGUCUGUGGCGAAGCUAACGCGAUAAGUGUGCCGCCUGGGGAGUACGGUCGCAAGAUUAAAACUCAAAGAAAUUGACGGGGGCCUGCACAAGCGGUGGAGUAUGUGGCUUAAUUCGAUGCAACGCGAAGAACCUUACCUGGCCUUGACAUGUAGUAGACCGGGUGCGAAAUCACCCUUUUCUUCGGAACUGCUACACAGGUGCUGCAUGGCUGUCGUCAGCUCGUGUCGUGAGAUGUUGGGUUAAGUCCCGCAACGAGCGCAACCCCCGUGUUCUGUUGCCACCCGGAUGUAAAUCCGGAGCACUCUGGACAGACUGCCUGGUUUCAACUAGGAGGAAGGUGGGGAUGACGUCAAGUCAGUAUGGCCCUUACGGCCAGGGCUGCACACGUACUACAAUGCCUGAUAUAAUGGGAAGCAAGACCGCGAGGUGGAGCAAAUCCUCAAAAUCAGGCCCAGUUCAGAUUGUAGGCUGCAACUCGCCUACAUGAAGGAGGAAUCGCUAGUAAUGCCGUAUCAGCUACGACGGCGUGAAUACGUUCCCAGGCCUUGUACACACCGCCCGUCACAUCAUGAAAGUCGAUUGUACCCGAAGUCACUGAGUUAACUUGCAAAAGAGACAGGUGCCGAAGGUAUGGUUGGUAAUUGGGAUGAAGUCGUAACAAGGUAGCCGUAGGGGAACCUGUGGCUG
rnacentral:rRNA from 1 species